UGAAGAAGGCCUUCGGGUUGUAAAGGACUUUUGUACGGGAAGAAAAGGGUGGUGCUAAUAUCGCUGCCUCAUGACGGUACCGUAAGAAUAAGCACCGGCUAACUACGUGCCAGCAGCCGCGGUAAUACGUAGGGUGCGAGCGUUAAUCGGAAUUACUGGGCGUAAAGCGGGCGCAGACGGUUACUUAAGCAAGAUGUGAAAUCCCCGAGCUUAACUUGGGAACUGCGUUUUGAACUGGGUAGCUAGAGUGUGUCAGAGGGGGGUAGAAUUCCACGUGUAGCAGUGAAAUGCGUAGAGAUGUGGAGGAAUACCGAUGGCGAAGGCAGCCCCCUGGGAUAACACUGACGUUCAUGCCCGAAAGCGUGGGUAGCAAACAGGAUUAGAUACCCUGGUAGUCCACGCCCUAAACGAUGUCGAUUAGCUGUUGGGGUACUUGAUACCUUAGUAGCGUAGCUAACGCGUGAAAUCGACCGCCUGGGGAGUACGGUCGCAAGAUUAAAACUCAAAGGAAUUGACGGGGACCCGCACAAGCGGUGGAUGAUGUGGAUUAAUUCGAUGCAACGCGAAGAACCUUACCUGGUCUUGACAUGUACGGAAGAGCUUAGAGAUAGGCUUGUGCCUUCGGGAACCGUAACACAGGUGCUGCAUGGCUGUCGUCAGCUCGUGUCGUGAGAUGUUGGGUUAAGUCCCGCAACGAGCGCAACCCUUGUCAUCAGUUGCCAUCAUUAAGUUGGGCACUCUGAUGAGACUGCCGGUGACAAACCGGAGGAAGGUGGGGAUGACGUCAAGUCCUCAUGGCCCUUAUGACCAGGGCUUCACACGUCAUACAAUGGUCGGUACAAAGGGUAGCCAAGCCGCGAGGCGGAGCCAAUCCCAGAAAACCGAUCGUAGUCCGGAUUGCACUCUGCAACUCGAGUGCAUGAAGUCGGAAUCGCUAGUAAUCGCAGGUCAGCAUACUGCGGUGAAUACGUUCCCGGGUCUUGUACACACCGCCCGUCACACCAUGGGAGUGGGGGAUACCAGAAUUGGGUAGGGUAACCAUUUGGAGCCCGCUUAACACGGUAUGCUUCAUGACUGGGGUGAAGUCGUAACAAGGUAGCCGUAGGGGAACCUGCGGCUG
rnacentral:rRNA from 1 species